rnacentral:rRNA from 1 species
UUAUCAAGCUGGGAGAUAGCUGGUUCUCGCCGAAACAUAUUGAGGUAUGGGGUCGGUCGAUUUCCACGGGGGGUAGAGCACUGGAUGAGCUAGGGGGACCACAAUCUUACCGAACUCAACCAAACUCCGAAUACCCGUGAGAACAGGCCGGCACUCAGGUGCUGGGAGCUAAGUUUCAGUGCCAAGAGGGUAAGAACCCAGACCGCCAGCUAAGGCCCCCAAGUCAUGACUAAGUGGUAAAGGAUGUGGGAACGCUUAGACAGCCAGGAGGUUGGCUUAGAAGCAGCCAUCUUUCAAAGAAAGCGUAACAGCUCACUGGUCGAGCGAGCCUGCGCCUAAAAUUCAACGGGGCUCAAGUCAUGCGCCGAAGCUGCGGGUUCUCGUAAGAGAGCGGUAGGCGAGCAUUGUCUGGACGAUGAAGGCGUACGGUAACGAGCGUUGGAGUGCAGACAAGAGCUGAUGUUGGCGUGAGUAGCGAUAAAGAGAGUGAGAAACUCUCUCGACGUAAACCCAAGGGUUCCUGGGUAAAGAUAAUCUGCUCAGGGUUAGUCGGCCCCUAAGCCGAGGCCGAAAGGCGUAGGUGAUGGGAAGCAGGCGAACAUUCCUGCACCGGCACGGAUGGUUUCACGAGGAGGGACGGAGGAGGAUAGUCGAGUGACCAUGUGGAUUGGUCGUUCAAGCCAGUAGGCUGAUGGCGUAGGAGGCAAUGGCCACAAACGCGCUGUCAAGGCCGAGAGGUGAUGAGGCUGGCUCUUCGGAGCCAUCAACUCGAUAAUUCCACGCUUCCAGGAAAAGCUUCGCGUGAGUGUACCGCUGUGCCGACCGUACUGUAAACCGACACAGGUGGGUGGGGAGAAGAUCCCAAGGCGCUCGAGAGAACCCGGGUUAAGGAACUCGGCAAAAUCACACCGUAACUUCGGGAGAAGGUGUACCUCAGCUGGUGAAAGGCUUGCGCCUGGAGCUGGAGGGGGUUGCAGUGAAUCGGGGGUAGCGACUGUUUACCAAAAACACAGGACUCUGCAAAGUCGCAAGACGACGUAUAGGGUCUGACGCCUGCCCGGUGCCGGAAGGUUAAGAGGAGAUGUCAGCGCAAGCAAAGCAUUGAAUCGAAGCCCCGGUAAACGGCGGCCGUAACAAUAACGGUCCUAAGGUAGCGAAAUUCCUUGGCGGGUAAGUUCCGUCCUGCACGAAUGGCGUAACGACUUCCCCACUGUCUCGACCCGGGACUCGGCGAAAUCGAAAUCGGGGUGAAGAUGCCCCGUACCUGCGGAGGGACGGAAAGACCCCGUGAACCUUUACUGCAGCUUGGCACUGCAGUUCGGGUUUGUCUGUGUAGCAUAGGUGGGAGACGUCGAAGCCGGGCCGCUAGGUCUGGUGGAGUCACCGUUGAAAUACCACCCUGAUAAAUCUGGACUUCUAACCGAGACCCGUAAUCCGGGUCCGGGACACUGCCUGGUGGGUAGUUUGACUGGGGCGGUCACCUCCUAAAGAGUAACGGAGGCGCGCAAAGGUUCCCUCAGGUUGAUUGGAAACCAACCGUAGAGUGUAAAGGCAUAAGGGAGCUUGACUGCGACACAUACAAGUGGAGCAGAGACGAAAGUCGGCCUUAGUGAUCCGGCGGUCCUGAA